rnacentral:lncRNA from 1 species
CCUUAAGGGUGCAGGAACAAUGUGUAGGAACCAGAUCUAGGGUUUCAGGGUUAGAUCUUGAAACUUUUUCAAGAUCAUACAGUGGAAGACUAAAAUAAAUCAAAAUUUAUUUUUUAGAAUCAGAGAAUCUCUAGAUCUAAGAUCCUAUUACAUGAUUAUUAUAUAGUAUUAAAUUAAAAAUUAAAAUAUAUAUAUACAGCAUGAACUACAUGUUGAUCAUA